UGCAACAUUGUGGUGCAGUUGAAGUAAAUUCUUAUUUGUUCUUACUGCAUUCUGGCAGUUGUCCAGGUACUCUUACAGUGUUCCACCUACAUGUGUACUGCUUUUGGAGCACAGCAUGUGCACAAAUCAGUCGGGAAAGAUCGGAGCACAGUCUGGGUAUUCAGAUGGCUG